rnacentral:tRNA from 1 species
GGUGUAGUGGUUAUCACGUCUGCUUCACACGCAGAAGGCCGCCGGUUCGAGCCCGGC